rnacentral:ncRNA from 2 species
CAUUAAAGUAUAAAGACCGGUUGGUUGGGGGGUCAGCCCAGCCAGAUAACGGGGAAAGUGUGGUGCAAAUCCACCGCUGUCCCGCAACUGUAAGGGAAUUGCCCGUCAAUUCCUGAGUCAGGAUGCCCGCCGGUGUUGUCCUAAAUUC